rnacentral:rRNA from 1 species
CCUACGGGGAGCAGCAGUGGGGAAUAUUGGACAAUGGGCGAAAGCCUGAUCCAGCCAUGCCGCGUGUGUGAAGAAGGCCUUCGGGUUGUAAAGCACUUUCAGUGGGGAAGAAAGCCUUGGGUCUAAUACCCUCGAGGAAGGACAUCACCCACAGAAGAAGCACCGGCUAACUCCGUGCCAGCAGCCGCGGUAAUACGGAGGGUGCGAGCGUUAAUCGGAAUUACUGGGCGUAAAGCGCGCGUAGGCGGUCUGAUAAGCCGGUUGUGAAAGCCCCGGGCUCAACCUGGGAACGGCAUCCGGAACUGUCAGGCUAGAGUGCAGGAGAGGAAGGUAGAAUUCCCGGUGUAGCGGUGAAAUGCGUAGAGAUCGGGAGGAAUACCAGUGGCGAAGGCGGCCUUCUGGACUGACACUGACGCUGAGGUGCGAAAGCGUGGGUAGCAAACAGGAUUAGAUACCCUUGUAGUC